rnacentral:rRNA from 1 species
AUCUUCCGCAAUGGGCGCAAGCCUGACGGAGCAAUGCCGCGUGAACGAAGAAGGUCUUCGGAUUGUAAAGUUCUGUCCUUAUCGAAGAGAGGGUAUAGAGUGAAAACUGAUAUACUAGGCCGGUAGAUGAGGAGGAAGCCCCGGCUAACGACGUGCCAGCAGCCGCGGUAAUACGUAGGGGGGGAGCGUUGUCCGGAAUCACUGGGCGUAAAGGGCGCGGAGGCGGUAAUAUAAGUCAGAUGUGAAAGGUGGGGGUUCAACCCCUAGAGUGCAACUGAUACUGUAUAACUUGAGUGUGAGAGAGGGAAGCGGAAUUCCUAGUGUAGCGGUGAAAUGCGUAGAUAUUAGGAGGAACACCAGUGGCGAAGGCGGCUUUCUGGCUCAUAACUGACGCUGAGGCGCGAAAGCGUGGGGAGCAAACAGG